GCUUGGGUGGUGUAGUCUGGUUAGCACGGGGGACUGUGGAUCCCCCAGCCCGGGUCCGAAUCCCGGCCCAGGCC
rnacentral:tRNA from 1 species